GGCGUAGAGGGCUCGCAGGCGGUUUCUUAAGUCUGAUGUGAAAGCCCCCGGCUCAACCGGGGAGGGUCAUUGGAAACUGGGAAACUUGAGUGCAGAAGAGGAGAGUGGAAUUCCACGUGUAGCGGUGAAAUGCGUAGAGAUGUGGAGGAACACCAGUGGCGAAGGCGACUCUCUGGUCUGUAACUGACGCUGAGGAGCGAAAGCGUGGGGAGCGAACAGGAUUAGAUACCCUGGUAGUCCACGCCGUAAACGAUGAGUGCUAAGUGUUAGGGGGUUUCCGCCCCUUAGUGCUGCAGCUAACGCAUUAAGCACUCCGCCUGGGGAGUACGGUCGCAAGACUGAAACUCAAAGGAAUUGACGGGGGCCCGCACAAGCGGUGGAGCAUGUGGUUUAAUUCGAAGCAACGCGAAGAACCUUACCAGGUCUUGACAUCCUCUGACAACCCUAGAGAUAGGGCUUUCCCUUCGGGGACAGAGUGACAGGUGGUGCAUGGUUGUCGUCAGCUCGUGUCGUGAGAUGUUGGGUUAAGUCCCGCAACGAGCGCAACCCUUGAUCUUAGUUGCCAGCAUUCAGUUGGGCACUCUGAGGUGACUGCCGGUGACAAACCGGAGGAAGGUGGGGAUGACGUCAAAUCAUCAUGCCCCUUAUGACCUGGGCUACACAC
rnacentral:rRNA from 1 species